UACAAAGUAGACGUCCACAUCAAGGGAAAUCAAGACAAACAAGGGAAGCCUCUAUGGCAAGUAAUAUUCAUUGGUGAUAAAACACUGAGUAAAGAAGGACAGAAAGUUCUAGAAAAACCAUUUAAUUUGGGCAUAGCUUCAGGUUUUUCAGGAAAAAUAACCUAUAAACAUGAUUCAUGUCAAAUGAAUUUUCCAGUCAUUUCUGAGUUAAUUAUUAGUGAAGGAGACUAUUCAAGAGAGAAGGCUGAUUACAUGACUGUAUGUGAAAAUUUGCAGCUUUCUAUUAAACACAGGGACACUCAUACUGGAGAGAAAUCUCAUGAAUAUAAUAAAAAUGUGAAAACUGUUAGUGUUAAGAAAGAUAAGGAUCAGAGAUUUCAAACAUUGGAGCAAUUGUUUGAAUGCAGUGAGUUUGGGAAAAUUUUGUAUGAAAAAACUGUCUGCCUUACAGUUGAGAGUUCUCCAACAGAAGAGCAGUGCUGUCAGGGUGAUGAGCUUGGGAAAAACUGUGAUAGGACAACUCUGUUUAGCCACACGAGAGCUGACCCAAGGGAGAAGUGCUCUGAUGUUAGUGACUGUGGGGAAUUCUGCUGCGAAUCCACCAUCGAGGAGUACAGUAAAGUUCACCUGGCUGUAACACACCAGGAAUGUGAUGAAAAUGGUAUUAAUUCAUGUGGGAAGUUACCCCUAAUUCAAGCUCAGAGACCUGUUACAGGACAGAGUGUUCUUGAAAGCAAUCCAUGUGAAGAAAACUUGAGCCAAAGUCCGGCCCACAUAGUACAUCAGGAGAAGCCAAUUGGAGAUAACUUCUGUGAAUGUCCUGAAUGUACUAAUAAUACCUUCUUCCGGAAAUUAGGCCUUAUCACACAUCAGCAAACUCAAGAGAAACCCUGCCAGUCAGGUCUGUACGGGAAAUGCAGGGAAUCCUUUUACCAGAAAGCACACCCCAUUCAGGAUCAGAAGACUUACUCAGGGGAGAACCCUUACAAAUGUGAGGAAUGUGGGAAAUUCUUUUGUUCACAUUCACACCCUAGUCAGCAUCCUGGAACUCAUAUGGCGUCCAAACUCUGUGAAUGCAAUAAAUGUGGGAACACUUUCUGUGAGAAGUCAAACCUCAGUGAACAUCUGAGGCUUCACACAAAGGAGAAACCUUAUGGUAACAACGACUGCAGGAAAUGUCACACACCACCCCCCAUGGGACAGCAGAGAACAGACACAGAGAUGAAGAUCUGCCACAGCCGUGAGUAUGCGAAAACCUCCGUGAUGGGACAUCUCAAGGAAUAUCAGAAAGUUCACCCGGGUGGGAAACCCUAUGAAUGUGCUGACUGUGGGAAAACGUUCUCCAAAACGUCACAUCUGACAGCACAUCAGAGAACUCACAGGGGUGAAAGACCCUAUGCAUGCAUUGAAUGUGGGAAGACUUUCUCUCACAAGACACAUCUCAGUGCACAUCAGAGAACUCACACUGGGGAAAAACCCUAUGAAUGUAGCCAGUGUGGGAAAGCUUUUGCUGACACUUCAACCCUCAGGGCACAUCAGAGAAUUCACACAGGCGAGAAGCCCUAUGCGUGUCAUGUGUGUGGGAGAUCUUUUGCCCAUGUUUCUGUUCUCAGAGCCCAUGAGAGAAUUCACACAGGGGAGAAGCCCUACGGGUGUAAUGAAUGUGGCAGAUCCUUUACCUAUAACUCAGCCUUCAGAGCCCAUCAGAGAAUUCACACGGGGGAGAAGCCCUAUGGGUGUAAUGACUGUGAGAAAACCUUUGCCCAUAAUUCAGCCCUCAGAGUGCAUCAGAGGACUCACACAGGGGAGAAACCCUACGAAUGCAGUGACUGUGAGAAAACUUUUGCCCACAAUUCAGCCCUCAGAGCACAUCAGAAAAUCCACACAGGGGAGAAACUCUAUGAAUGUAAUGAGUGUGGGAAAACCUUUUCUCAGAAAACACACCUCAGCACACAUCAAAGAAUUCACACAGGGGAGAAACCCUAUGAGUGUAGUGAAUGUGGAAAAACUUUCUCCCAGAAAUCGUACCUCAGUGGACACGAGAGGACCCACACAGGGGAAAAGCCCUAUGGGUGUAACGUAUGCGGGAAACGUUUUGUCUACAAGGCAGCCCUCAUCGUGCACCAGAGAAUUCACAGAGGGGAGAAGCCCUAUGAGUGCAGCGAAUGUGGGAAAACCUUCUCUCAAAGGACACACCUCUGCGCCCACCAGAGAACGCACACGGGGGAGAAGCCCUACGGGUGCAGUCAGUGUGGGAAAACGUUUGCUGAUAGUUCAGCCCUCCGAGCGCAUCACAGGACUCACACAGGGGAGAAACCCUACGAGUGUACUGAGUGUGGGAAGGCUUUCUCCAAGACGUCACACCUCAGAGCACACCUGAGGACGCGCAUGGGGGAGAAGCCGUACGAGUGUCACCAGUGUGGGAAAAGCUUUUCCGAGAAGUCGUAUGUUAGUGCCCACCAGAGGGUGCACACGGGGGAGAAGCCCUACGAGUGCAGCGACUGUGGGAAGGCUUUUGCCCAGAACUCAACUCUCAGGGUGCACCAGAGGGUUCACACAGGUGUGAGACCCUACGAGUGUGGUGAGUGUGGGAAAGCGUUCUCCCAGAAAUCGCACCUUGGUGCACACCAGAGAAUUCACACAGGGGAGAAGCCCUACGAGUGCAAUGAAUGUGGGAAGGCUUUUGCCCAGAAUUCAACUCUCAGCGUGCACCAGAGGAUUCACACAGGGGACAAACCCUAUGAAUGUGAUGAGUGUGGAAAAACUUUUGUCCGUAAGGCAGCUCUUAGGGUCCAUCGCACCAGGAUGCACACCAGAGCAAAAGCCCCAGUGUGGAAUGAGUUUGGAAAGCCCUCAGGGAACUCCUGCCUUACUGCAUGACGCACAGUAAGGUAUAGCUUGAUGAGAUUUCCCUAUAGUGUUGGUCCAGGUGGGGCUGGCCAGGGAAUGUGACACCAAAUAUCACAUUUAAGCCCAGUCCUUUAAAAAUCACCUUGCAUUGUCCCUGGUCCAUGGUUAGUGGGGUGGAGACGACUGCCACAGCAAACCUGAGUGCCGCGUUGGGAGGUGGCAGACAGGGAAAGGAAACAAGUGCCUGGGACAGCUCUCCACUUCCAGGUCUUCAGUACUUGACUUUCCUUUUUUUUUUUUUUAAACAAAGAUUAGUGUGUUAUGUUAGGCUCUUACAGGUUUGGUCUGUUGUUAAAUGCACAUCGUUGGGCCUGCUCUCUUGCUAGCGUGGAGUGAAACCCUAUGAACAUAUUAAAUGUCAGAAGACCUAUACAGAUUCAACUUACUGCAUAUCAGAGCUGUCUCAGGACAAUACUGUCAUCAACAUCUUAAUAACCAGAAGCCUUUAUUAAGAGCCAGAGAAAUCUCAGGGGGAAAAAAAGCCUUUACCACAAAGAGAACUGCAUUAAACAUCAAAUAACUUGGUUAAAAUUUUAUAUUUUGAGUAAGUAGCAUUUUUCAACAAAUAUUGAAAGUUUGUCUUCAGAUAAUUUAUUCUGAGGAAAUACAUGAGUUUCAGAACUGAGGUUAACAUCCUUACCUAGAACUGAGACAUCAAAACCUGUGUUUUUUGUGUAAUAUUAAAAAUUUUAUAGAAAAUAUAUAAGAUAGUAUUUACCUAUAGACUAAGUCACUGUAGACUGUUGAGUUUUGAAAGUGUAAGAAUAACUUGAAUUCUGUGGACAGUACUAAUAAAUGUUUGAAUUGUCUCUGAGCUAUGUGGAACACCCGUGAGUCGACAUGCAAACAGAUGAUUCAUCAGUGCUGGUGAGUUCUGGUAGGAGCCAGCCACACUUGCUCUGCGCAUGGCUACUUCCAUUGUCAGAAUGAGUGACUGUUCUUCUCUUGGUUUCCUUAAACUUGGUGCUUUUGAUUUUUGGCCUUCCUGCUAAUCUGGCCCUGCAUUGCUAAGGCCCAUGACAUUCUUAGGCAUUUUUCUAUGUUUUUGUCUAUCUAACAUUGUGUAUGUGUAGGUGGUAGCAGUACUUGUGUUGUUGUUACACUUUUGAGUGAUUUUAAGACAAAUAUCCUUAGCCCUCUUGUGCACAUAUAACCUGAGUAUCCUCUUAAUUUAAUUUUUAAACAUAAUGGCUUCUCACACUGUACACUUCUGUAAAUCAGAGCUGUUUUGGACCAGCUAGGACAGCACGUUUUAGAAUUGCAAUGGAAAGGGCUACUUCAUGCCAGAAGCACAGCACUGGUACUGAGCAGCAGACUCAUUUGGGGGAAAAUAUGUAAUGUAAUGUAGUCUUGGCCAAUAAAACAUUUGGUUAAUCUGUGAUAUUUCAGGCUUAUGGUUUGUUUAGCAUGAAGAAGAAAGUGGAAUCAUUUUGAAAACCUGGAAAAAUAAAAAAAUUCUCUUAACCCUGGUCAAGUUUCUUUUUGUAAGUUUG
rnacentral:lncRNA from 1 species